CUCGAUCUCAGUGGGCGAGGGCGGUCGCAAGAGGUCGGAGGCGAAACUGAGUGUGAGGGGGUUACGAGUGCUGGUCCUGCGAGUGCUGGUCCUGCGUCGCAUCAGGUCCGAGUCUGAGGUGGAGCUCAGAGUACCGGUCUUCAGUCCUCCUGGUUUUGACCUUAUGCCUGCCCUGACACUGAGCCCUCCUGCCUGACCAUUCAGCCUGCCUGCCUCCCUGUACCGUUUGGAACUCUGACCUGGUUCUGAACUUUUACCUGUCCUCGACCUGCCUCUUGCCUGCCCUUUGUUGUUUAAUAAAUAUCAGAGACUUGAA